CCUACGGGUGGCAGCAGUGAGGAAUAUUGGUCAAUGGCCGGAAGGCUGAACCAGCCAAGUCGCGUGAGGGACGACUGCCCUAUGGGUUGUAAACCUCUUUUAUAAGGGAAGAAUAUAUGCUACGUGUAGCAUGAUGCCUGUACCUUAUGAAUAAGCAUCGGCUAACUCCGUGCCAGUAGCCGCGGUAAUACGGAGGAUGCGAGCGUUAUCCGGAUUUAUUGGGUUUAAAGGGUGCGUAGGCGGGUUUUUAAGUUUGUUGGUAAAGCUUCGGGGCUAAACUUAGAAUUGCAAUUAAUACUGGAAGACUCGAGUACAGACGAGGUAGGCGGAAUAAGUGAUGUAGCGGUGAAAUGCUUAGAUAUAACGUAGAACUCCGAUAGCGAAGGCAGCUUACUGGACUGCAACUGACGCUGAAGCACGAGAGCGUGGGUAGCAAACAGGAUUAGAUACCCCGGUAGUC
rnacentral:rRNA from 1 species